AAAAGUUAAAUUAUGAAUCCAACAAAUACACUAUAAUUGGCCGACAAUAUCAUCAUUUCCAUAUUUAUUUUAUGUUACUAUUUCCUAUAGAGGCAUUUUGAAACAUUGAAAAUUUGGAAGAGUUGUAACUUUGAUAACUAGUAUGUCUUUUAGGCGAUUUGAAUGUCAAAAUUGGCAGCGAUGAUGAUUUUGUGUCAUUUCACGAAACUUACAUGCAAGACAAUACCUUUGCAAAACAAAUUAGCUUUUUGAAC
rnacentral:lncRNA from 1 species